rnacentral:rRNA from 1 species
GAUGAACGCUAGCUACAGGCUUAACACAUGCAAGUCGAGGGGUAACGAGAGGGAAGCUUGCUUUCCUUGUCGACGACCGGCGCACGGGUGAGUAACGCGUAUCCAACCUGCCCCCAACUAGGGAAUAACCUUGCGAAAGUAAGACUAAUACCCUAUAAUUUCCUCAGAUGACAUCUGACGAGGAAUAAAGAUUUAUCGGUUGUGGAUGGGGAUGCGUCUGAUUAGCUUGUUGGCGGGGUAGCGGCCCACCAAGGCAACGAUCAGUAGGGGUGCUGAGAGGAAAGUCCCCCACAUUGGAACUGAGACACGGUCCAAACUCCUACGGGAGGCAGCAGUGAGGAAUAUUGGUCAAUGGGCGGAAGCCUGAACCAGCCAAGUAGCGUGCAGGAUGACGGCCCUAUGGGUUGUAAACUGCUUUUAUACAGGAAUAAAGUUAGCCACGUGUGGUUAUUUGUAGGUACUGUAUGAAUAAGGACCGGCUAAUUCCGUGCCAGCCGUCGCAGUAA